AUUGAACGCUGGCGGCAGGCCUAACACAUGCAAGUCGAGCGGAUGAAGGGAGCCUGCUCCUGGAUUCAGCGGCGGACGGGUGAGUAAUGCCUAGGAAUCUGCCUGGUAGUGGGGGAUAACGUCCGGAAACGGGCGCUAAUACCGCAUACGUCCUGAGGGAGAAAGUGGGGGAUCUUCGGACCUCACGCUAUCAGAUGAGCCUAGGUCGGAUUAGCUAGUUGGUGGGGUAAAGGCCUACCAAGGCGACGAUCCGUAACUGGUCUGAGAGGAUGAUCAGUCACACUGGAACUGAGACACGGUCCAGACUCCUACGGGAGGCAGCAGUGGGGAAUAUUGGACAAUGGGCGAAAGCCUGAUCCAGCCAUGCCGCGUGUGUGAAGAAGGUCUUCGGAUUGUAAAGCACUUCAAGUUGGGAGGAAGGGCAGUAAGUUAAUACCUUGCUGCUUUGACGUUACCAACAGAAUAAGCACCGGCUAACUUCGUG
rnacentral:rRNA from 1 species